AUGUGGGAGAGGCGGACGGACGCGAGGAUCCUGGUCCGCGAAGCCGACGCCGGCCGCAUCAUCGGCAGCGCGGGGUCCUCCAUCGCCGCCAUGGAGAAGGAGGCCAGCUCCGGCGCCCGCAUCACGCUCCCUGCCAGGGACCAGCUCCUCGCCGGCACGGACCACCGCGUCGUCUUCCACUCCGGCCCCUUCCGCGCCGUCAUGGACGCCGCCGACCUCCUCCUCCACAAGAUCCCCCCUUGGCAUAUAGGAAAGCAGGGCGACAACACGGUGGUGCUGGAGGUGCCCUACGCCUGCUGCGGCGCGCUCAUCGGCAAAGGAGGGACGCUCAUCAAGUGGUUAGCUCAAGAGUCAAAUGCUGGAAUCACGGUCUCACACCACCGACUCUGCUACGGUUUCAAUGACAGACUGGUUAACAUCACUGGGUACUUGGAAGAUCAGCUGCAGGCCAUAUUCCUUAUACUCUCCGAGUUGCUUGACGAUGUCCACUACUUAUCCUCCUACCAAAAUCAAUGGCUUGCAGCAGAGUUGGUUUUCCGCGUUAUCAUGUUUCAAGCGUUGGGCGUGACGGCGAUGGGCAAGAUGAGCAUGUCGAAAGAUACCACAGCAGGUGAUUUAAAACAUUUAACCAACCGGCCGAACCAUCUUCUUCUCCUUGGAUUCCUCCAGCCCGACACUCCCGUGGGGUCACCUGACGUCGACGACGGCAGAGACGUACAAGGGCUCUGA
rnacentral:rRNA from 1 species